GUAGGUGGCAAGCGUUGUCCGGAAUUAUUGGGCGUAAAGCGCGCGCAGGCGGUCCUUUAAGUCUGAUGUGAAAGCCCACGGCUCAACCGUGGGGGGUCAUUGGAAACUGGGGGACUUGAGUACAGAAGAGGAAAGCGGAAUUCCAAGUGUAGCGGUGAAAUGCGUAGAGAUUUGGAGGAACACCAGUGGCGAAGGCGGCUUUCUGGUCUGUAACUGACGCUGAGGCGCGAAAGCGUGGGGAGCAAACAGGAUUAGAUACCCUGGUAGUCCACGCCGUAAACGAUGAGUGCUAAGUGUUAGGGGGUUUCCCGCCCCCUUAGUGCUGCAGCUAACGCAUUAAGCACUCCGCCUGGGGAGUACGGCCGCAAGGCUG
rnacentral:rRNA from 1 species